rnacentral:rRNA from 1 species
UACGUAGGGUGCAAGCGUUAAUCGGAAUUACUGGGCGUAAAGCGCGCGCAGGCGGUUCUCCAAGUCAGUGGUGAAAAGCCCCGGAGCUCAACUCCGGAACUGCCAUUGAAACUGUUGAACUUGAGGACGAGAGAGGUGAGUGGAAUUCCCAGUGUAGAGGUGAAAUUCGUAGAUAUUGGGAAGAACACCGGUGGCGAAGGCGGCGACCUGGUCCGAUACUGACGCUGAGGCGCGAAAGCGUGGGGAGCAAACAGGG